CCUGAGGGCCGGGCCGGGCCGGGCCGGGGGUGGGGGCGCCUGGACGGCUGCGGGCGCGGCUCGAGCCCAGGGGCCCCCUUCUCCGCCCGCCUCAGCCCCGUCACCUGUAGAGUGGGGUCCAGGGGGCCGUCUGAGGCCCCUUCCAGGUCCUGGGACGAGGUCAGCAGGAAGGAUCGACUCCUAGGGUCGCCCUCCCACUUCCUGCCACAAGAGCUUCGAGGGACCAUGUUGUCAAUAAUAAUAAUAAUGCCUUUUUUUUUUUUUUUUUUGGUUACACGGAGAAGAGAGGGCGGGGCAGGGAUUCAGGCGAGAAGGUUGCUGUGAGGAUCAGUGCAGCGCUUGCCGGCUGUUCUGGGGCUCUCCUCCGCGAGCUUCUCUCUUUCUGGUUCUGGAAACCCUCACUUCACUUUCAGCAAAGCGGGCAGUAAACCUGGUCUCCAAGACUCAGACAUCGCAAACCAGGGCUCCUGAGUUCUCUCCAGGGUCCUCUGGGGUCGGCACUGUUGUUAAUCCCACUCUUCGGAUAGGAGCUCAGAGCGAGGGAGGGACCGGCCCUGCAGCCAGACAGAGGGAUGAAGAAGGUGUCUGUGCGGGAUGGGAAGUGACCUCGAGCCGUAUUGUCAGAUGCUGUGAAUGAAAAAAAGCCAAGCGCUGAGCAGGGUGCAGUGCCAGGAGCAAUAGCAGCCAUCUUGCAAACAAGAGGAAAAAGCCAAGAGAAUUGCAGAGACACCAGCCCUGACAUCAUUUGCCUGGAAAAACAAUGCCAGCCAUAGCUGAUCUCCAAGCUCACCGUGAUAGGGGAAAAUAAACUCUUUGUCAAG
rnacentral:lncRNA from 1 species